GUGUUGUAUAGUGUGUGUAUAUAAUGCAGUGUGUUUGUGUAGUGUGCAUUAUAUAAACACACUACACAAACACACUGCAUUAUAUACACACACUGCAUUAUA